GGACGAAGCACAUGGAGUGACUCGUGAGGAAGAUUCUCAAAGGAAGUUUUAACGUUACCCUCUGCAACUUUAAGAUAACCUGCUGAUUUCCUUCUGCCAUGCAGUGGAAAUAAUUUCAGCCAGCCAUGUCAAUGAUGUUUCGCGUUAUUGUGCACGACAGUGACAUCCGAAAGGUUGUGAUUUCAGAAAAACCAGCUGAUGUUGAUGCCUUGAAACGUGUGCUUCAAGAGAAGUUGCAAGUCACAUAUUCUUUCAAUGUCCAAUUUGAAGACCCUGACUUUAAUCAUGCAUUAUGCAACCUAAGUGAUAUUAAGGAUUUGACAGGUAAGGCAACAUUGAAAAUAAUUCCUCUAUCAACUUCUCCCUCCUCAAGUCAGGCCGACACUGUACUUCUCUCAGGUUCGGAUACAUCAGAGCAGUUGUCUGCUGAACGCCAGAGUGAGUGGCCAGAGGAUUUUGAAAUCCCUAAAUUUUCUGUUAAUGUUGAGUAUCGUCUCCGUCAGGGAAACCUUGCUUUUAUGAAAGAUGGUACAAGUCUUGAUGUUGGAAGAGACAUUAAACAUGACAUAUUGGAAUCACUUGCGGGUGCCAUGUACACUUUUAAGGCAUAUCCAUCAGAUGAAAACUUUGCUCAAGUUGCUACUGCC